UAUAUACUUCCUCCGUUCGGAAUUACUCGUUAAAGAAAUGAAUGUAUCUAGAUGUAUUUUAGUUGUAGAUACAUCCAUUUUUGUGACAAAUAAUUUCGAACGGAGGGAGUACGUA
rfam:Triticum aestivum genome assembly, contig: Triticum_aestivum_CS42_TGACv1_scaffold_222492_3B